UGCGUAGGCGGAUAUAUUAGUCGAGUGUUAAAUCUUUGGGCUCAACCCAAAGGCCGCACUGGAAACGGUAUAUCCUAGAAGAAGUCAGAGGUGUGCGGAACUCAAGGUGUAGGGUGAAAUCCGUUGAUAUCUUGGGGAACACCAAAUGCGAAGGCAGCACACUGGGACUUUCUUGACGCUGAGGCACGAAAGCGUAGGGUAGCGAACG
rnacentral:rRNA from 1 species